GCCCUUAGAGUUUGAUCCUGGCUCAGAACGAACGCUGGCGGCAGGCCUAACACAUGCAAGUCGAGCGAUCCUUUCGGGGAUAGCGGCGGACGGGUGAGUAACGCGUGGGAACGUGCCCUCUUCUGCGGGAUAGCCACUGGAAACGGUGAGUAAUACCGCAUACGCCCUUUUGGGGAAAGAUUUAUCGGAGGAGGAUCGGCCCGCGUUAGAUUAGGUAGUUGGUGGGGUAAUGGCCUACCAAGCCUACGAUCUAUAGCUGGUUUUAGAGGAUGAUCAGCCACACUGGGACUGAGACACGGCCCAGACUCCUACGGGAGGCAGCAGUGGGGAAUCUUAGACAAUGGGGGCAACCCUGAUCUAGCCAUGCCGCGUGAGUGACGAAGGUCUUAGGAUCGUAAAGCUCUUUCGCCUGUGAUGAUAAUGACAGUAGCAGGUAAAGAAACCCCGGCUAACUCCGUGCCAGCAGCCGCGGUAAUACGGAGGGGGUUAGCGUUGUUCGGAAUUACUGGGCGUAAAGCGCACGUAGGCGGACCAUCAAGUUGGGGGUGAAAUCCCGGGGCUCAACCCCGGAACUGCCUCCAAAACUGGCGGUCUGGAGUUCGAGAGAGGUGAGUGGAAUUCCGAGUGUAGAGGUGAAAUUC
rnacentral:rRNA from 1 species